rnacentral:rRNA from 1 species
AUUGAACGCUGGCGGCAGGCCUAACACAUGCAAGUCGAGCGGAUCACCGGACGGGUGCGUAAUGCCUAGGAAUCUGCAUGUUAGUGGUGGAGCACGUCCGGAACCGGGCGCUGAUACCGCAUCCUAUGAGAAUAGGCUAGGUCGGAUUAGGUAGUUGGUGGGGUAAAGGCCUACCAAGGCGACGAUCCGUAACUGGUCUGAGAGGAUGAUCAGUCACACUGGAACUGAGACACGGUCCAGACUCCUACGGGAGGCAGCAGUGGGGAAUAUUGGACAAUGGGCGAAAGCCUGAUCCAGCCAUGCCGCGUGUGUGAAGAAGGUCUUCGGAUUGUAAAGCACUUUAAGUUGGGAGGCGUUACCAACAGAAGAAGCACCGGCUAACUUCGUGCCAGCAGCCGCGGUAAUUC